AUUGAACGCUGGCGGCAGGCCUAACACAUGCAAGUCGAGCGGUAGAGAGAAGCUUGCUUCUCUUGAGAGCGGCGGACGGGUGAGUAAUGCCUAGGAAUCUGCCUGGUAGUGGGGGAUAACGUUCGGAAACGGACGCUAAUACCGCAUACGUCCUACGGGAGAAAGCAGGGGACCUUCGGGCCUUGCGCUAUCAGAUGAGCCUAGGUCGGAUUAGCUAGUUGGUGGGGUAAUGGCUCACCAAGGCGACGAUCCGUAACUGGUCUGAGAGGAUGAUCAGUCAAAAUGGAAAUGAGACAAGGUCAAGAAUCAGACGGGAGGCAGAAGUGGGGAAUAUUGGACAAUGGGAGAAAGCCUGAUCAAGACAUGCAGCGUGUGUGAAGAAGGUAUUAGGAUUGUAAAGCACUUUGAGUUGGGAAGAAAAGCAGUAAGUUAAUACUAUGCUGUGUUGACGUUACCGAAAGAAUAAGCAACGGAUAACACUGUG
rnacentral:rRNA from 1 species